GGCUAUGACCAUUGCCAUGAUGACUACAAAGUGGUGAAUAUAGAUGACAAUCGAAUCUUUGUAUAUUCAAUGAGAAAUGGUUGUUGGAGAAAAGUUGAAGACUUCUCUAGUAAGGUCGAUUUUCGUGUUCUCGAAGACGUUGGGACACAACUGAAUGGGGCCAUUAAUUGGCUUCGUAUUAAAAACCCUAAAGAUAUUAUACACAAGUGGCAGCGGAAAUUUGAGAUUGCUGCUUUUAGUUUGGUGGAUGAGAAAGUGCGGAUGAUACCCUUGCCAAGUACUUCUGUCAACACCAGUUUUCAUAACGCAAGUCAAUUAGGGGUGUUUGAAGGAUGCCUUUGUAUACUACCCUGUUGUGAUGGUGAAUUGUGGGUUAUGAAGGAAUAUGGGGUUGAGCAGUCUUGGACUAGAAUUGAUACAAAGGUCCCAAUAUCUUCAGAUAUGUUGGCUUUGUUGAGGAACGAAGUGAUAGACUACACUAAGUUACUUUUAUACAACAGAACAGUAAAGGGUCCUCUUGGCAUACAUGAUGACGAAAAUGAAGAAGAUGUGUAUGAUUUUCAUGCAACCAUCUGUGUAGAUAGUCUCCUUUCACCCUUCAUGAGAUUGCAGGAGAAAGAGUCCCUCUGACACCCCCGAUAUGAAGUAAGCAAGUUUUCAUCACUCAGGAUGGAAUUUUACAGAUUUUCUCUAAUUAACAGCAAUAUAAACUACUUUGGCAAAUAUGCUGUACCAUGUUGUCAAAAUCGAAAUUGAAGGUAUUAAUAUAUAUAAGGAUUAUCUCAUUUUCUUGGCUUUGUUGUUAUGCUUUAUUUUUUAUUUUGUUGGUAAUUGUUGUGUGCUUUAGGAACUAAUAAUUUUUGAAAGUUGGCAAGAAACUCACGCCCAGUUUUUGGGACUUAAACCCUCGACUUCUACUUUGGAAAGUGAGAAACUACCGGCAGUCUAUUGUGAAUUUCUGGAACUAUUAGGACUGGUUUGGUCCUGAUUCAUCCAAGAACCUGACCUAACUUGCAUCCUUAGGUAAGACUUCUUAGUUAUGUUCUCUUAGAAUAGUAUUCAUGAAACAUUAACUUUUAUGGGUAAACUAGUCAAAAUACAUACACAGUACCUUAAGGGGACUUGAAAAGCAUCAUCUAACUAGAAUGAUCACAAAACACUGCACGUUAUUACAGUAUGUAGCCUACAAUAUGUCCACCAUAUUUUGAUUUGUUUUGAUUCUGCAGAUUGACUACUUUGAAAUUUUUUUUGGUUAAUCAAAGGCGUCUUCUUGAGUUAACCUUUGGCUACACUUAUCUUCUUCAUAUUCUUUUCUAAUCUGAGAAGGAAAAUGAUAUAUAUCUAAUGCAGUGCUUGUGCUGAAAAAUAAAACCCUUUGGUAACAUGAAAUUCUCUUAAUGCUGAUUAAUGGUUGUGAAAACAUUUUAUUUUUAUAACAUAUAUUAGAAUUAUAUGGCCAUAAACAAACAUCUUCCCAAUUGUUCAAUUUGACGACAAUGAUAUAUAUUUUGAUGUUCUUUUUGCUGAAGGAAUUUGGCUAAACCACUACAUUGGUACGCACACUUCUGAGGCUUAAUUUUCAGGAGCAAAGCCCCAAAUUGUCAAACCAUGAAGUCUUCAUUUCACAACAUUCAACUUAUAAGGAACAAAAUUACUUUUUUCAAACAAAACAUUUUUUUUCAAGAUAAGUUCUCAAGAACUCCUAAGUUUCAGAACAAUUCUAUGAUACUCUUAAGUCAAAAACUCUUAUGUUCUCACUUUUUAAGUCAUUCUUUCUUCAAAGAGACUCUUUUCAAGUCAAAAUCACCAAGAACUCAUACGAUCUCUUUUCAAAACAAUUUCCACCAGCUCUUAUGCAUACAUUUUAAACUUCAAAAGUUCUCAAACUCAUCAUAUUGAACUAUAUUUGACUUGAUCAUUAUCAUACCAUUCACAUGGUAAGGUAUGUAGGCAGCCUAGUUAGGUAAUUCCUAGUUUCGGUCACACUAUUUUCAAAAAAUUAUUUCUUUUCAAGAACCCCUAUGUUUAAACCUUUUAAUCACAUAUACCUACCAAAGCAUAUAUCCUCUCUCUUAUGGAUAAAGUCAAGUUUUCAAGCCAAUAUUCAAGGAAGCACUUGGUGCUAGGUUCUAAACACAUACAUUUUUUGAAAUGCAACAUAAAAAAUAAGGUAACCGUGUUUCAUGGGUGUCAUAGGGUGUCUAACACCUUCCCAUGUACAACAAACCUAAUAUUUUACCUGAAAUUCAUUUUUUCUUGUUACCUUUUUAAGGGAUGCAGAGUCUCCUGCUCUUCCCUUGUUUCUUUUGGUGUUCGCAUUAGGUUGAACAUUUGCAUUUGUCUAAAUGAGGUAAUUGGUAUUAUUUUUAGUGAUAUUCAAUCUCUUCACUAUUGCAGUCGAAAGAAGAAAUGAGGAUAUUGUUGUUUACAUUCAUUCUUUCCAUAUAAAAGUUUUGUGAGGAUAUUGAUGUUUGCAUUUAUUCUUUUCAUAUAAAAGUUUUUGUUGACUCUUUAAUCUUGUCAUUUCAUUCAUUACAAGGAAAUUGACAUAUUAAAAGACAAGUUCAUUUGUGUGGUGUAGGCAAUGAAAUUUUUUUAUUCUCAUAUUUUCACGUGGUUUAUAAGAUAGAUGCAAUAAGCCGACUAUUCUUGAAAUUGAUGGGGUUUAAAUUGUGCAAACUUCAUAAUUAUGAUUUGUUUAUCUUUUUGUUGGAAUACUGUUGGAUCUUCAUAUAUUAUGCUUGAGGUUAUUAUGAUAUAUGGAUAUAUAUAUAUGUAUGUAUGUAUGUAUGUAUGUAUGUAUGUAUGCCCACUCUGCUGGAGGAUGUGCCUCAGCAGCCUGUACGGAAGAGAGAGUUCUAUGCUUUCUCCUUGCUUAAAGGCAGCAUCUCAUGUUGAAGCAUAUUAUGGUGCAGCAGCAUCAUGGACUUGACUGCAGUUAUUAUACAUGUUCUGUAUCUAGAUUUCUGCAUGGCUUCUUGUUUCUUAGGGAUCUCUUGGCAUAUUUCUAAGGCUCAGACCUCCGUGAAUGUCUAAGAUGCUGCUAUGACACGAGUAGGUCCUGCUGUCAACUUUGAGGUCAGAUCAUUAUUAUUUUUUAAUUAGAAAUUUGAAUUUGUGGUAUUUAUCUAUUAAAUUUUUUAAUGCAAAACAGUAUUGUGGUAUUUUCUUUUUCGAGGGGGUUGUUUGCUAAUUUCUUGUCUCUGUUUUCUUGUCUUUUGAUAUGUCCUUCCAUGUUGCAGAAAGCACCUAUUGCAUUGUUUAUAUGAUAAACGUCCAUCAUUCCUUGUUCCAGAUUGGCUCUAAGAUUUACCUUUAUGCUCGAGUGUUAAUAUUGAUACUUUUGUGGUUUUAUUUUCAUAAUCAUUAAAUAUUUUAUCUCAUCUUUAUGUGUCCUGUGCCACUAUAUAUAUAUUUAUGUAUUUUUCUCAUUUCUAUUUUCUGUUUCAGUUGAGAUUUUUAUCUUCGGAGUUGUUGAGCUUUAGAACUUCAAUAAUGUGGAAGAUAUGGAUGAAAUGUUGCAAGAAUUGAAUCUUAUUGCAGGUUGUCUUUUGUUUUUACAAUUUCUAGAAAUUGUUUGGAAUGGUUAAGAGUUGAAGGGGGUGCAUUUGAGCUUCUCAUGACUGACAAUUGGGAAUUUUUCGUAUGUAUAGUUUGGCAGAAUCUUAAAUUUUAGGAGCACAUCUUCUAGGUUUAAGCUGUUAGUCUGUUGUUGAUCCUCACAGUUCUUUUCACGUCAUUCUUUUCUGUGGUCUAUCAUGUUGAAUGAGUCCCACAUCGGUUGGUGAAGAAGGAAAUCUUAUGGGGCAAAGGUCACUCCACCUAAUGGGUUAACCUUUUGGGUUGGAUACCCCCAUCCCAACAACUGGUAUCACAACCAAGUCCCCAAGAAUUGCAUGUGGACUCAAGAUCCCCUAGCUGACGGGAGGACAGGAAGGGCGGUGACAUUCUAUCCACAGAACGAGUCCCACAUUGCUCAUUGAAGAAGGAAAUCUUGGACUUAUAUAGGGCAAGGGUCACUACACCUAAUAGGUUAACCUUUUGGGUUGGAUACCCCCAUCCCAACACUAAUAUAUAUACAUUUUCUUCUCUAUGCUAAAAUGUCACCUCAGUUUGGGUAUUGAUGUGAUGCCUUUAUCAACACUAUCCUAUUGUAUGCUUUAGGCUACAGUUUAUUUGUUGUUUUCAUUUAAUGGUGAAAAAUGGUCCAUAUAUGUUUUCUUUAUGCAGUUCAUUACUGUUAUUGUUUCUUAUUUGGUUAUCUGUACAAUUUUCAUUCAUGUUGAUUGUAGUAAUUUCAUGCAAUAAUGUUGUAUUUGGCUGCGAUUCUUAAUUUCUGAUGAACUGUGUUGAUGGCUGGACUCCUAUGUGGAGAAGGAAUUGGCAUUUCAAGGUUUGUUCUUUGCAGUUUUUGUCGAAUCAUGAAAGUAAUACUCGUAAAAAUAAAAAAAUAAAAGAAGUGAACAAUACAUAACCUCCAUAGCCAAACUGAUCAUUUGGUUGGCUUAUAAAAUGUUGAUAUUUUGUUCCUGCAGAUGUGUCUUGCACAAUAAGCGUUGGAUGCUCCUUGAUAGGUGUUUCUAUUGUCUUUUUUGUUUUAAGUUUUUCCAUCUGCUGCGAUUACAUGAUUUGAAAGUAUUUAUGAGUACACAAAAAAAAGUGGAAUCAUUGAUUAUUUAUUUAUCUUUUGGUUUGAUACAUGCCUUAUCUCUUGUGGAGAGUGUCUACUUUCCUAGAUUUACUUCCUCGUUUCUUAGUUGGACAGUGUUAGAGCACCUGCAAUUUUAGUCAAUACUGAAUGUAAAUGAAAAUUUCCUUUUUCACUUACUUUGAAUGUGUUGUAGUGCUUUUGUUUCCGUUCAAUCAACACAACUAAACAGAAAAUAUACAAUUUAUGUUCUGUUUUGAAGGCGCUUCUUUUACACAUCAGUGAUAGAAUUGUUCCAAAAAGGGGCUGAAAGAAUCAUUUUGCAUCUUUUCUCUUUUGAAUGUUGUUUUCUCUGGUUUCAUUCUAGGCAACCUUGGAGACAUUUCCAGUAUGAAGAGACGGAUCAGUUGAUUUUUUCCACCCCAGUUGAUCAAGCACUGUGUUUAUUUAUUUAUUUAUUAUUAUUAUUAUUUAUUUCUUCUCUAUUGUAUAUGUGACUUCAUUGUCUUGAUAUUUCCUAACGUUCUUUCUUAUUCCUUUCUCUCGCGGUAGAAAUCUCAUUUUUGUUUUUUGUUUUUUUGAGUGCCUGUUGUCUAGCUGGACAUGAAACAUCAAUACUUUUUUCUUUUCUUCUUCUUUUUUGAUUUCUUGGAGGUAAUUAAUUUUUUAUCUUUAAUUUAAAACAUUUCUAAAAUCUAUAAAUGUUCUACUUUGUAGGGUUUAUUGCAAAGGCUCUGCUGUGCUACAAAAUUUACGUAUGGUUGUGCUUUGUUGGGCUUCUUUCAAAAGCUCUACCAUGUCCUUUCUUUCUUUCCUUCUCUCUUUUUUUUCUUUUCCAAUUCUUUGCUUAAUUUUUGCUUGAUAGCCUACUUAGAACUUGUCCAUGUGACUACUCAAUAUUUUUCUUGUGCCAUACCUAAUUUUUUGCUUGUUCUAUCUAUUUAUUAUGUCUGCUUUCUAGGGAAUGCAGUCCAAUACCAUCUUUCCUACUCCAUUGUUGGAGAGGUUGUAUUUAGAUUCUCUUGUUCUUUAUGUUAUAUUCCUGUUAGUUGAAUUGAGAUCGCUGACCUUUCAAAGAAGGGUGUGUCGGUGUUCUUCUCUCACUCAUAUACAUCGUUGUACAUAGGUGGAUCAUUUUCCUUCUCUUCCCUCACUUGGGUCAAUCCCUACAUGUGGCAGCUAUCUAAUCAAUUCAGGUACCCUAUUUCUCAUUACCUUAUAUUAAUACCAUGAUUGUUGUUUUUUGUACUGUGUAUUAGUCUUCUAGGGUUAGCCCAUUUGUUUCUUUUUUAUUGUGGCGUAUGAUGCUGAAAGAAUUUCAAAUUUAUGCGGUUUUAUAAUCCUUCAGUCUGAUAAUGUAAUUAUCUUUGUAUCUUUUCAAGGAUGACAUUAAUUAGUGGUCUCCAUCUCGGUAAAUGUUUAAAGUUUAAACCUUUAGAAUUGUAUCAUCUUCCAAUCAUGUUCUCCCUCUUCGUUUAAUUUACAUGGGCUUAGCAUGAUUAUGGUGAUGAAUUGAUCUAGCCUUGUUGCCAUUCACUUUCCUGUUGUUGCAGUUAGAAAUUAUUAUUAUUAUUAUUUGUGUUGAUAAGAUAGUCUCUAGAUUUUGAAGGUGGAUGUGCAAAAAUUAUUUUUCGGUUUAGUAUAAUUUUUUUUUUUUUUUUUUUUUUUUUUUUGCAGUACACAUGGUUACUAAAUGACAUAUAAGCCACAAGUUUUUUUAAUAGGAGUAGUUUUUUUCUUUGAUUUAAAUUUUUAUGAUGUUGUUCAUAUUGAAGAUGCGGGAUAUUUAGCUUCUCUAGAAUUUCAUUGUGCGCGGGAAGUGUGUGAGGCUGCUCAGAUCGUUUUUGUUCCUUAGGGGAGACCAGCUUAAUUCUUUUCUUAUUCUUUGCAGCUUGCAAUAUUGUUUUUGAUUUUCCCCUUAUGGAGGUCAUGCAUUCAUCAAUUUUCCCUUUCAUUAUCCAUACAAAUUUUCUUACUUGGUUAUGUUUGUGUGUAUUUUGUGAUUUUUUUUUUUUUUUUUUUCUGUCUGUUUAUAUGGAUUUUGUGUGGCACAAUAAUGAAGAUUAUAUUUUGUUUCUGCCUUUAUUUUUAAGUGUUUCUGUCAGAUUUUACAAGCAAUUUUUUGCUUGUAAUUUUGGGCUAAAACUUUUAUUAUUGGCUAUGGAGAUGUGAAAAACAAAAACAAAAAAACAACACUAUUUCUGCUGAUUUCAACCUGUACAGAUUGUGGAAUCUGGAGAUGUGAGGUUUUUGGGUUUUGGCUGAAUUCAGUCCGUGCAGGUAAUCAGUUUUUGGUUUCUUGGUAGUUGUAAGAUUUGUUUUCUGUGGGUAUCAGUUCUUAGGCCUUUAGCUUGAUGUUCAAAUUUUCAUUUCAUGUAACCCAAUAAGAAAGUGGUGAAUGAGUUUGAAUAAUGGUGAAAAUCAUUUUUGUGAUC